rnacentral:rRNA from 1 species
GUUCGGAUUGUAGUCUGCAACUCGACUACAUGAAGCUGGAAUCGCUAGUAAUCGCGGAUCAGAAUGCCGCGGUGAAUACGUUCCCGGGUCUUGUACACACCGCCCGUCACACCAUGGGAGUCGGAAAUGCCCGAAGCCAGUGACCCAACUGAAAGGAGGGAGCUGUCGAAGGCAGGUCUGAUAACUGGGGUGAAGUCGUAACAAGGUAAC